UUAUAUAACUCAAAUACGUAAACUAAAAGUUUGGAAAAUGUUAAACAUAUUAAUAAACUAGUUUAUAAAGCCAAAAUAUAAUCAAACACAUCCACUAAAUUAUCUACCAUUAACUAAAAUGUUUUAAAUUUUUUAAAAGUAAAACUCUCAUUGGUCAAUGCAUAGAUGCAAUCUAUGACCAUUGAUUAAACUUGAAUCAAUGGUUCAGAUGUUGUUUCGUUUCAAUAUCCGCCUCUCCUCCUCAUUGGUGGAAUAUCUAAAUGCAAGGAUUGUAAUCUGUGUCCAUUGAUUAAUUUUGAAUCAAUGGUCCAGAUGCUUUUUUUUAAUCUUCUGCUCUCCUCCUUUCACGUCCCGUAGUCUCCUCCUUAACACUUCUUCUUGCUUAACUCUUCCUCAUCUGCAAUUCUUCUUCUUUAUUUCCUUAGCAUCUCAUAAUCUAGUCUACAAUUUCUUCUUAUCUCUCAUCCUUCACGAGCCUUUAACCGUUCAUCUUCUUUUCCACGCCUCCCUUCCUCAUGUACGAAUCCAGAUCUCCUCCUUUGAUGUACUGCCAAAUUCGUGAACGCCUCCCAAAUCUGAAGCUCGAUCUUCUUCACCGAAUUCUCCCGCCUUUCCUCACUCACCGCCUCUGACCAAGUCCCUGAAAUCUGUAGUUUUCGCCGUCGUUCGUGACUCUUGCCGGUGAUGAAGAAGAAGCAAGGAUAGAGACAUGGGAAGGACAUCGGCCGGCGUCUUUUUUUUUAUUAAUUUUUUUUUCAUUUUUUUUUAAAUUAGGUUAAGUUGUAAACAGGUAGGUGUGAGGUGCCAACAAAAAAAGAAAUAAAAAAAAAGUUGUAAACCGGUUUAAUAUAUAGGAAUAUGUAUUUGUAAAUUUAUAAUAUUCAUAAUAUAUUCUCUUAUGUACACAUAUUCACAUAUAUAUACAAUUAAUAUAUUUUUCGGUAAGAGUGAAAUUAUUUGUUAGUUAUAUAUAUGCUAUAUAUUUAUUUUAUUUUUCAAUUUCAUAAUUUUUUUUAAAAAUAUUUUUCAAGAAAUUGCGAGGAAACUGCGUUUCUUAAAUCUAUCGCAAAUUUGCGAGAAAUCAUUUUCCAUCGCAAAUUUGCGAGGAAACAUCUUCCGUCGCAAAUUUGCGAGGAAACAUCUUUGAUUUGCGCAAUUUCCAUUGCAAAUUUGCAAGAGAUUUGCGAGAGACUCGUUUUGAACCGAAUCAAUAACACUUGAUUUGUUAUUACAACUAAUUAACAGCAAACCCUUAUAACUUAUAUAACUCAAAUACGUAAACUAAAAGUUUGGAAAAUGUUAAACAUAUUAAUAAACUAGUUUAUAAAGCCAAAAUAUAAUCAAACACAUCCACUAAAUUAUCUACCAUUAACUAAAAUGUUUUAAAUUUUUUAAAAGUAAAACUCUCAUUGGUCAAUGCAUAGAUGCAAUCUAUGACCAUUGAUUAAACUUGAAUCAAUGGUUCAGAUGUUGUUUCGUUUCAAUAUCCGCCUCUCCUCCUCAUUGGUGGAAUAUCUAAAUGCAAGGAUUGUAAUCUGUGUCCAUUGAUUAAUUUUGAAUCAAUGGUCCAGAUGCUUUUUUUUAAUCUUCUGCUCUCCUCCUUUCACGUCCCGUAGUCUCCUCCUUAACACUUCUUCUUGCUUAACUCUUCCUCAUCUGCAAUUCUUCUUCUUUAUUUCCUUAGCAUCUCAUAAUCUAGUCUACAAUUUCUUCUUAUCUCUCAUCCUUCACGAGCCUUUAACCGUUCAUCUUCUUUUCCACGCCUCCCUUCCUCAUGUACGAAUCCAGAUCUCCUCCUUUGAUGUACUGCCAAAUUCGUGAACGCCUCCCAAAUCUGAAGCUCGCUCUUCUUCACCGAAUUCUCCCGCCUUUCCUCACUCACCGCCUCUGACCAAGUCCCUGAAAUCUGUAGUUUUCGCCGUUGUUCGUGACUCUUGCCGGUGAUGAAGAAGAAGCAAGGAUAGAGACAUGGGAAGGACAUCGGCCGGCGUCUUUUUUUUUUAUUAAUUUUUUUUUUCUUUUUUUUUUAAAUUAGGUGUGAGGUGCCAACAAAAAAAGAAAUAAAAAAAAAGUUGUAAACCGGUUUAAUAUAUAGGAAUAUGUAUCUGUAAAUUUAUAAUAUUCAUAAUAUAUUCUCAUAUGUAGACAUAUUCACAUAUAUAUACAAUUAAUAUAUUUUUCGGUAAGAG
rnacentral:lncRNA from 1 species